GCAGUGUAACACGAACAGGUUAUCCUUCUUGUGUUCACGUGAGUUCUUGAGUUUUUGAGUGUGUGAUUGUGUAGAGUGUGAGCAGUAGAGAGAGGCUUCAGUUUGCAUGUUGGACUGAUAAGAUUUAAGAAAGGACUGCAUUACGCUUGUUUAAGAACGCGGUGCUGCGGAGAAUGUUUGGACCUAGGAGCUGGGAAGUAACAGCCGGCUGGAGGAGAGAGCAUGCUGAAGUGCCUCACUAACUGUUGACGUACCGUUUCCCAAUAUUAUUCACGUCAACAAAUCAAUUAGGAAGAUAAGGGUAGAACAUUUGAGGGAUGAGAAAUGUAUAUAUAAUUCUGGUGGACAUAUCCGGAGGGAAGAGGCCACUUUUAGUCCUAGGAAUAGAAGGAAAGGAGCUAUUAAACUAACAAACAAAGUCUGAGAACGUGGACUGGAUUCAUCUGUCUCAGAAUAUGGUCCAGAGCCGUCCGUUAUGAGCAGAUUCUGUGCUGCUGGAGAGGAUCUGGAAGGAAGCGGUCGUGACCUAAACGAUGUACCAUCCAGGUACUUCCCCUGAUGACGUGCUUCGCGUUCCAGUUGGAAAGUUAUGCAGUCUUACACUUUGUGUGGCGUUAGGCCUUGCCUCACAUCGACUUGUUCACUUUGGAAAGUAUCGUAUUUAUGAAUUUCAUAGUUGUUCUCAGAACAUAGAGUUAAUUACAUAUUUCUUUAACGAAUCUCCUUAACUUAUCUGAACAAAUUAUUUCAUUCAGUCGAUAAGCCAUUAAAUAUGAAACUUUAAAUUACUUGUCAUUUACUGUUCUAAUCAAAAAUAUACUCAGUUAUGUUGGCAAUGAACGAGUGUGAGUUGACGGGAAUAAAGAAACAACUGCAGCCAGUA